AGUCCUGUAGUGAGUAACACGUCUAAUUGCAAAUCCGAAAAAGUUCCAUUUUUGG
rnacentral:tRNA from 1 species